rnacentral:rRNA from 1 species
GGUCUGGUCUGCCCAGUGGGGUGCGCCCUUAACGGCUGCAGUAAAUGGCAACCAAAGUAGUUUAAUUUACUUGCCCUUUAAUGGUGGAGCUAUCGAGAAUGAUACAACGAGAGCUAAGCUGUCUCGGUGGUAGUGAUAUGAAAAUAUAGUGUUGGUGAAUAUACCAAUGUAGCGUAGAGGGACGAGAAGACCCCGUGGAGCUUUAGGGUUAGUUUAGUCUUGGGGGUUAGCAAAUGAUGGGGUAUCUUUUCUCAAUGAUCUAAGAUUAUCUCUUAGGCUAAGCAGGCCUUUAGGCUGGGGCAGCCGGGCGGGAAAAGUAUACUGUUUGGAACUACGUAGGCUAGCCUGCUCUGACGAUCCACCAUAGAGUGUGAUAGACGGAAUCAGUUACCCCGGGGGUAACAGUUUAAUUGCGCUUUUUAUGAGACGUUAUCUAAAAGCGUGCUUGGCACCUCGAUGUUGCCUUAGGAUUCCCUUGAAGUCGCAGGAGAUUUUAUAGGUUGGUCUGUUCGCCCAUUAAAAUCC